rnacentral:rRNA from 1 species
GCAAGUCGAGCGCUACCUUCGGGUUUAGCGGCGGACGGGUGAGUAACGCGUGGGAAUAUGCCCUUCUCUGCGGAAUAGCCUCGGGAAACUGAGAGUAAUACCGCAUACGCCCUACGGGGGAAAGAUUUAUCGGAGAAGGAUUAGCCCGCGUUGGAUUAGGUAGUUGGUGGGGUAAUGGCCUACCAAGCCUACGAUCCAUAGCUGGUUUGAGAGGAUGAUC